CGCCUGCACUUCGGGAUAAGCUUGGGAAACUGGGUCUAAUACCGGAUAGGAGCCAUCUUUAGUGUGGUGGUUGGAAAGUUUUUUCGGUGUAGGAUGAGCUCGCGGCCUAUCAGCUUGUUGGUGGGGUAAUGGCCUACCAAGGCGGCGACGGGUAGCCGGCCUGAGAGGGUGUACGGCCACAUUGGGACUGAGAUACGGCCCAG
rnacentral:rRNA from 1 species